rnacentral:rRNA from 1 species
GACGUAGGGCGCGAGUGUUGUCCGGAUUUAUUGGGCGUAAAGAGCUCGUAGGCGGCUCGUUGCGUCGGCUGUGAAAACCCGCAGCUCAACUGUGGGCUUGCAGCUGAUACGGGCGGGCUGGGAUUCGGUAGGGGAGACUGGAAUUCCUGGUGUAGCGGUGAAAUGCGCAGAUAUCAGGAGGAACACCGGUGGCGAAGGCGGGUCUCUGGGCCGAUAUCGACGCUGAGGAGCGAAAGCGUGGGGAGCGAACAGG